AUGCUCACGUGACAUUGCAGUUCUUCGUCAUCAUGAAAGUUCAUUAUUUGCAUGCAUUUAAACAGUUUACACUUCUGAUAUAUGGUUUUCUGAGUGCACACAUCCGAAGCACGUGCACAGAAACUGGCUAUCAGACAGCGUAUCCUUGUCGUAAAUAUAAGCUUCCCUGUGGGCAGCGCAAUACACGUGAAUUUGUUGACUAAGCUGACGGAACAGAAAAUUCGUUUGGAAACCAUGUCCACUGAUCAGAAACAAACAGUCAAACACAGUGAAAGCCUAUUGGGAGACAAGGCACCCUAGUAACCAUGGCCGUUGCUAGGGUAACAGCGGAGAAAUGGAGGGUGGCGAGUAGGUGUCCAAAGUGUCCUCAACAUUAACAUGAUGAGCUCAAUAAGACAGGAUGACAUACUGUCAGCUUUUUCAUUGAAAUAUUACUCUAAAAUAAACAACAAAGUAAACAAAAAUAUUAUAUAAUUGUUGGUCAUAUAUGGUUUUAUUAUCAUGUUUAAAGCAAUACCACAUUCACAAUCAUGCUGUGGUUCAGCUGUAGACAAAGAGUCUUUCAUAUGACAAUUGUAUAAAUGAGAAGUAAAUAUCAACUUGCAUUCUGUAAGAGAUAAUGUAUGGUAAAAAAAAAAAAAAAAAAAAAGUAAAAUGAAAUAUUGGUAUCAUUCAAUAUUUGAAUGAUAUCAGUCCACAAUCUGUUUUCUGACUUGUGAUGCAUGCAGCCUGGAAUUAAACCACAUUUUUUCAUUGGCAAGAGGAGAACUGGCUUGCUUAGUUGGGGACACUUAAAGGGUUAGUUCACCCAGAAAUGAAAUUUCUGUCAUUAAUUACUCACCCUCAUGUUGUUCCACACCCGUAAGACCUAAGAGAAUACUUUUUGUGCGCAAAAACAAAAUAAAAAUAAUGGCUUAAUGUCGCAGAGCUUACGUGUUUACGUCAGAACUGAGCCGGCGUUCUAACGUAAACAUGGAAGCUCUGUGUCUGCGCCGAUAGCCUUGUGGGCAGCAUGCCGACAUAUAGCGCCAUUGCGCUUUGGCCGCUCCGAGUUUGAGUCCCAACUCAUGGUCCUUUCCCGAUCCUGUCCCCCUCUCUCUCUCCCACUUCACUUCCUGUCUACAUACUGUCCUAGCACAAUAAAGGCAAAACGCCAAAAAUAAAUCUUUAAUAAAAAACAAAAAAACAACAACAAAACAUGAAAGCUCUGCAAUGUUAAUAGUGUAUGAGAAUGAGAGUGGAGAGGCGAAUUUGUUGAAUAAAGUCAUUAUUUCAACUUUGUUUUUGCACACAAAAGUAUUCUUGUCGCUUCAUAAUAUUAAGGUUCAACCACAGUAGUCAUGUUGACUGUUUUAAAAAGGUUUUACUACUUUUCUAAACAUUGAAUGACGGUUAUUUUGUUGCUUUCAAUUGAGGAUAAAAAAAACCUUUCUGAUUUCAGCAAAAUAUCUUAAUUUGUGUUCUGAAGAUAAACGAAGGUCUUAUGGGUGUGGAACAACAUGAGGGCUUUUAUACAGUAUCUCACAGAAGUGAGUACACCCCUCACAUUUUUGUAAAUAUUUUAUUAUAUCUUUUCAUGUGACAACACUGAAGAAAUGACACUUUGUUACAAUGUAAAGUAGUGAGUGUACAGCUUGUAUAACAGUGUAA